GCUGUCGCGUUGCGCUUUCUUCGUUUUUUUCGGCUGCGCAAACUUAUAUUUUGUCGUUGUAAUAUUUUGCAUAAAUAUAUAAAUUAAAGCGCGUGACGAAGCAACAAACAAAUAGCCAAGGAAGCAACAAAGAAAAGGGCGGAACAAAUCGAAACGAAAUCGGACAAACUUUCAAGUGCAAAAAAAGUGUGCCCUAACUGUGUGUGUGUGUGCCCGUGCGUGCGUGUGUGUUUUGUGUUUGUGCGCGACCCUGCGUGUGUGUGCGUGCGUUUGUGUGCUAAAAAACAGAACGUGCAACAAGAAGCAAGAAGAAGAAGCAGCGACAGCAGCUGACAGGCCAACAAUAAAAACGAACAAAUUCCAAUAAUCGCGAGUCAAUUUGAGAGUGCUAUUAACUAAGAAGUAGAAAACAGUUUAAGAAAAGCGUUUUCGCAAUGCAUCCACGAUACAGCCCGGCCCCGCCCCUUCAGCAGCAGCAACAGAUGGGCGGUGGUCCGCCCCACCAGCAGCAGGGUGGCGGAGGAGGAGGGGGAGGAGGAGGCGGUAGCAUGAGGGGACCCUCGAACAACCAGCAAUUGCCGCCCCAAAUUCCGAGAUCCCAGACCUAUUCAAACGGGAGCUCGUCUAGCGCCGCCGCCGCACCUCCAACACCGCGCAGCGCCUUCCCCGGCGCCCCGCUAACCGCCUCAGCCGUCGCACUCAAGGGCGCCCUCCCCCAGCGGCCACCGGCCAUGACAAGUCCCGCAGCCGCUGCCGCUGGCGCCGCCCUGGCCGCCGGUGCUCCGUAUCGCGGCGCCGCCAGCUGGACCCCGCAGGGUUAUGCCCCGGCCGCUGCCGCAGCCGCCGCUGCUGUUGCCCAGCAGGCCUACCGUUACACGGCGCCGCUGCCCCAGCCGGCAUAUGCCGCCUAUACGCCGCACACGGCCACCACACCGGCCACAACCACGGUAAGUUUUCUAAACCAACCUGUGGACUAUUAUUGGUACGGUCAGCGAGUGCCGACGGCAGCCUCACCGAGCAACACCAACUCGAGCAGCUCCUCGAACACGGGCUCCCAGAGCGGCACGCUGAGCACCAGCCUGAGCAACACGACGAACACCAACACGAACAUGGGUCCCAACGGCACGGUACAGAAUCAAAACCAACAGGGCGGCGAGCAGUUGUCCAAGACAAAUCUCUACAUUCGCGGACUGCAGCAGGGCACAACCGACAAGGAUCUAGUUAAUAUGUGUGCACAAUACGGAACAAUUAUAUCAACCAAGGCUAUUUUAGAUAAAACAACAAACAAAUGUAAAGGUUACGGCUUCGUCGACUUCGAGCAGCCAGCCUUCGCCGAGUGCGCCGUAAAAGGAUUGCAGGGGAAGGGCGUGCAAGCUCAGAUGGCCAAACAACAGGAACAGGAUCCCACAAAUUUGUAUAUUGCAAAUUUGCCGCCCCACUUCAAGGAAACUGAUCUGGAGGCAAUGCUAUCGAAAUACGGACAAGUUGUUUCGACCAGAAUAUUGCGUGAUCAGCAGAUGAACUCCAAGGGCGUUGGCUUUGCCCGCAUGGAGAGUCGCGAGAAGUGCGAGCAAAUCAUUCAGAUGUUCAAUGGUAACACAAUACCGGGUGCCAAAGAUCCCCUGCUGGUUAAGUUUGCCGAUGGCGGACCCAAAAAGAAGAAUCUCUUCAAGACGCCCGAUCCGAAUGCGCGUGCGUGGCGCGACGUCUCCGCGGAGGGGAUUCCCGUGGCCUACGAUCCGACUAUGCAGCAGAAUGGCGUUAGCGUGAACGUUGGCACGCCCAUCGGAGUGCCCUACUCCCGCUUCAGUGCCCCCCAGGUGGGUGGCUAUCCAGUGGCCGGCUCCCAAUGGAUACCCGGUUAUAUGAUGACCCAGCCGAUCACUCAGGUAGAUGAUCAGUACAUGCAGAUGGCUGCAGCCCCUCAGCUGGGAGUUACCUCAUACAAACCGGAGGCGGUCAACCAGGUUCAGCCCCGCGGCAUCUCGAUGAUGGUCAGCGGCGAUACGGGCGUGCCAUAUGGAACGAUGAUGCCUCAGUUGGCCACCCUGCAGAUUGGCAACUCUAACUUUUCUCCAUCGUUACAGUAUAUUAGUCCAACUUAUCCAUAUUAUGCACCACCACCAACUAUUAUACCAACAAUGCCUAUGACAGAUUCCGAACAGGCUAGCACAGCUGCAUCACCCGACGAGGCAUACACACAGUAUCCACAUCAAGCCGCUCCCAAAUAGGUCUUCGCGAGUAUAGUUACUAAGCAGUCUAAUCACUGGUAACCCAUACUAGCUAUAAUAUAUUAGUACCCCAUUUGAGUACUAUAUAAAUUAGACGAGAGUGAGAGCAUGCCACGUGGAAGCGAAAAAGCCAAGGAGGAAGGAAAAUCAAGAGGACAAACAUUUAAAGCAGCGGAUCGGAUAAAGGAGUCAACAACAACAACCACAACCAUCACAUGAACAACAACUAGAAGAAACUACUGAAACAACAACAUCGGCAGAAGAAUCGGAAACACAGCAUGCAGUUCACGAGGAUAAAUCUAGAGAAAAGCCACUCCCCCUAAAAAAAAAACACGGGGGAAUCCCAGAAAGCUGAGGCAGAGAAAAAAAUGUAUAAAAUAAGGAGGUUGGAUGUGAGGAUGAAGUUUAGGGGAUACAUGAUUACAAUGUAAGCGAUGCGAAAAAAGAAAGGCCGGUCUCCGACGAGAGACGAGCGCAGAAGACGCGAGUAAAAAGUGAAGAAAAGCAAAGACUAAACUUAAAUAAUAGAGAAUAGUUAUACACUAAAUAAACAACCAGAGAUGCAACAGCAGAACGGCAACAAUUGUCGUUGCCAAACAACAGCGGCAAACACGAGAGAAGAGCAGUCGAAAAUAUUUACAAAAAGAGAACUGCGGGAUGCGAGGAGAAGGCAAAGUCAAAGUCGAAGGAAACUCACUUGGGGGUCGUAAGAACUUGAGGAAAUCUGCUGAGCAAAAAAGAAAACCAUCGCAGAUUAGAGUUAAGUUAAUUUUGUUAAGCGCAAGAGGAAAAACAAUUGCAUGGGGGAAACCAAAACCGAUGAUAGAGGAAGAGCGAUGUAAAAAUAGAAGAGAAAAAAUAAAAAGAAACUAUUUUGCUAAUUUUGGGCUAGCAAAAAACCUAAGCAGACAGAAAAUUUGUGAAGUAAAAGAAAGGGAAAAAACCGAAACAGAAACAAAAAUAAAUGUGUGUGCAAUGUAUGUUAAAGAACCGUAAAGAAAAACAGCAAAUAAAAACGAAACAAAACCCA